rnacentral:hammerhead_ribozyme from 1 species
GUUCAGCUGAAGAGUCCCAAAUAGGACGAAACGCGCGUCCCGGAU